AGAGUGAAAGCUGCCAGGAGGUAAUGGAGGAGUGUGACUCUGAACCAAGACCUAGCAUCCAAGUAGAGGAAUGAGCUGGGAAGAGAUUGCCAAAUUCAGUCUGGAAGACUCGACUAAAUACAUGUGGACUUAGAAACUGGUGUGCUACAGGAUGGCAGACAAAGACAUCAGAUCCUCUGGAACUAGAGUUCUUGACAGUCUCCAGCCACUGUGUGAGUGCUGGGAAUCGAACUCAAGUUGUCUGGAAGAAGAGUCAGGUCUUAACCACUGAGCCAUCUCUCCAGCAUCCCUCAAAACAUGUAGGGACCACCCCAUGAGCCGAGCCGGUCAGAAGGGCAGAGAGGCAC
rnacentral:lncRNA from 1 species